UGAGGAAUAUUGGUCAAUGGACGCAAGUCUGAACCAGCCAAGUAGCGUGCAGGAUGACGGCCCUAUGGGUUGUAAACUGCUUUUAUAUGGGGAUAAAGUGGGGAACGUGUUCCCUUUUGCAGGUACCAUAUGAAAAAGGAGCGGCUAAUUCCGUGCCAGCAGCCGCGGUAAUACGGAAGGUUCGGGCGUUAUCCGGAUUAAUUGGGUUUAAAGGGAGCGUAGGCCGUUUGGUAAGCGUGUUGUGAAAUGUAGGAGCUCAACUUCUAGAUUGCAGCGCGAACUGUCAGACUUGAGUGCGCACAACGUAGGCGGAAUUCAUGGUGUAGCGGUGAAAUGCUUAGAUAUCAUGAAGAACUCCGAUUGCGAAGGCAGCUUACGGAAGCGCAACAGACGCUGAAGCUCGAAGGUGCGGGUAUCGAACAGG
rnacentral:rRNA from 1 species